AACGCGAAGAACCUUACCAAGGUUUGACAUGCAGGGAAAAGCCGUAGAGAUAUGGUGUCCGUAAGGGCCCUGCACAGGUGGUGCAUGGCUGUCGUCAGCUCGUGUCGUGAGAUGUUGGGUUAAGUCCCGCAACGAGCGCAACCCUCGUCCUAUGUUGCCAGCGGGUAAUGCCGGGGACUCAUAGGAGACUGCCGGGGUCAACUCGGAGGAAGGUGGGGAUGACGUCAAGUCAUCAUGCCCCUUAAGUCUUGGGCUGCAAACAUGCUACAAUGGCCGGUACAGAGGGCUGCGAGACCGCAAGGUGGAGCGAAUCUCAAAAAGCCGGUCUCAGUUCGGAUUGGGGUCUGCAACUCGACCCCAUGAAGUCGGAGUCGCUAGUAAUCGCGAAUCAGCAACGUCGCGGUGAAUACGUUCCCGGGCCUUGUA
rnacentral:rRNA from 1 species